UUGUCCCUCUGCAAAUCUCGCACCUCUCAGUGUAUUCACUGAGCUAUUCCAUCUUCCUUAAGGUAUUUCUUUCUUUUUCUUCAUUAUUCUUUUAUUCUUUUCUCGGCUGAAUCCGAGUGUGAAGAAAAGAUUGGGAGUCUGCGAGAGAUUAAGAGUGAGGGAGAGACUGACUAAGAGGGAGAGCUAAGAGAGAGAUUCAGAGAGAAGCAACAAAUUAAGUAAACAGAGAGUGAGACAGCGAGAGAUUAGAGAAGAGAGGGAGAGAAACAUAAUUGAGGGAGAUCAAACCCAUAACUGUGAACCAUCUAGUGAAGCCGAACCUUCAAAACCCAGCAGAUUUCCAGCUGAAACCCACGGCAACCAGAACCAGCCCGUGCAACCCGGUGAAACCAAGAGCAACCCAGCACCAUUCCAGCAAGCCGGCCUUCGGUGCUUGAACCCGUGGACUGUGACCAGCAGCUCGGCAGCAGCCAAAACCAGCCGAACCCCACGAACCACGCAGACCAUGCAGCUGGAACCGUGAACCACGACCCGUCAACCCAGCUGAGACCCGCGACCCAGAGAUACCGUAGCAGACCUGAGCAGAAUCCGUCGACGCCGGUGACCUGUGAGCCGUGGAGAACCGAAAGAGUGAAUCCGUGCGCAGAGCCGAGAUCAGAGAACCCAUAACCCAGAAAUGGGGCAAACCCGACUGAUCCGUGGACGGUGACCCGGAACCCGAAUCCCGUGAGCCCAUAUCCACGAAUCAACCAGACCCGGCCCACGAACCGACUUCAGUCCAGAACCGCAAGCCCAACCCGGCAGUGACUCCUAAACCGUGACACGAACCCGGAAACCCGACCCGCCGGCGACCCGUCUCCGGCAGACCUUUCCGGCGACUCUCCGGCGACUUCCAAAACUCACCAUUUUCACUGGAUUUUCUAGUGAAAAUCCUCAAUAUGAUGAAUUGAGACAGCACAAAAAAGACUAUGAUUGUGCAGGCACAGACACUGACGAAUAUCAGGAUUAUCAGGAGCCUUAUGAUGAUCCUGGUUUCAUAGAUGAGACUGUCUAAAGUCCCCUUUUUAUGAUAGACUUGCGGAACAGUUUAUCUUCCAUGUCGUAUUUAAGUUUUAUUUUAUGUACUUUCUAGACAUCUUAUGCUUUAUUUUAUGGUUUGUAAUAUGACUACCAUUACAUAGGACGUGAGCCGUGGUGGCCCUUAUGUUAUUGCUUUUGUGUGUAUUUGUUUGUAAGACCUUUUAUUAUUAUUUUAAUGUAAGUUGAGGUAUUUCAAUUAAA